AUUGAACGCUGGCGGCAUGCCUUACACAUGCAAGUCGAACAGUAACGGGCCUUCGGGUGCCGACGAGUGGCGAACGGGUGAGUAAUGCAUCGGAACGUGCCCGAUCGUGGGGGAUAACGAGGCGAAAGCUUUGCUAAUACCGCAUACGAUCUACGGAUGAAAGCAGGGGACCGCAAGGCCUUGCGCGGACGGAGCGGCCGAUGGCAGAUUAGGUAGUUGGUGGGAUAAAAGCUUACCAAGCCGACGAUCUGUAGCUGGUCUGAGAGGAUGAUCAGCCACACUGGGACUGAGACACGGCCCAGACUCCUACGGGAGGCAGCAGGGGGGAAUUUUGGACAAUGGGCGCAAGCCUGAUCCAGCCAUGCCGCGUGCAGGAUGAAGGCCUUCGGGUUGUAAACUGCUUUUGUACGGAACGAAAAGCCUUCUUUUAAUACAGGAGGGUCAUGACGGUACCGUAAGAAUAAGCACCGGCUAACUACGUGC
rnacentral:rRNA from 1 species